rnacentral:ribozyme from 1 species
AAAUAACACACACUUUGCUACUCUCUCUCCAUCUCUCUCUCUCUCUCUCUCUUGCCCCUUUUUUUCACUGAGAGACGUUAAUUAUCCAGGAGAAAGCCAAGAGAAGAGGCGAAAUGAUGGAGAAAAAAAAUGUUGACUGACUUUUUGAUCUUUUUUUUU